rfam:Myotis brandtii contig206048, whole genome shotgun sequence.
GGCAGUUCUCAGGUGACACACCCCGGAACCAGAGAGAAGGGAGGGGAGCCCGAUUCCAGGGUGCGUCACCCGAGAACUGCC